rnacentral:rRNA from 1 species
AAAAAAGUAAAAAUUUUAGGUAGUAUUGGAUGGCUUAAAACUUAAAAAUUUUGGCGGUGUUUUAAUCUUAUCAGAGGAAUCUGUUUUAUAAUCGAUAAUACACGAUAAAUCUUACUUAGGUUAGUAGUUUGUAUAUCGUUGUGAUAAUAAUAUUUUAUAGUUAUUAUUGAGGGUAAUUUUAUUUUUGAUAUCAGAUCAAGGUUCAGCUUAUGCUUGAGGAAAAAAUGGAUUACAAUAUAAAAAUAUAUUAUGGAAAUUGUUUCUAAAAGAUGGAGGAAGGAGGAUUUGAAAGUAUUUUUGAAAUAAUAUGUUGGAUUGAAUUAGCUCUAAAACAUGC